CUUCAGUCUUUACCCGCGACUCUCGCCUGGAUGGCCAGACAAAAGUCUUUCCACAUCGAGAUUACACAGAACUCAUUUGCUCUCUAGUUCACUUCUGCUAUUUUAUGGCUUUUCCCCCUCAGCACUUUAAUCAAGGAAUGAAACCUAGCAUCACCAAUAGGGAGCACAAAGUCAAGAAGAUGAACAAUACCCGGCCUGGUCUAGUCUGGAGAGGGUUCUAAGUGUCCACAUGCAGCCCUUGGCAAGUCUACAGGACUCACACCUUGCCUGGUAUGCUCCAGGACCUGGGUGCCAUUCUUACUACUAGAAAAAAAUCCAUGCCAUAUAAAAGGAGGGGGGUGAUUACUCUAUAAUAACAGAGACUAAAAUUCAUAAUAACCAAAUGGGAAAUUUAUGAAACUUGAUGGAAUGGUGUUGUGGUUUUUAUCUAGAUGUCCCCCAAAGCCUCAUGCACUCAAAGGUGGGGCUUUGGGGAGGUGAUUGAAUCAUGGGGUUGUGAUACUCAUAGGUGGAUUAGUCCAAUGAUGAGCGUAUAGCUAAACGUGAUGUUUGGAGGUGGAGCCUGGUUGGAGGAGGUGGGUCACUGGGGGGUGUGGCCUGGGCCUAUCGCCCUCCUCCUCCCUUGAUUUCUCUCUGCCUCCUGCCUGCCCUGCCAUGGACUGUUUCUCCUCGCCAGACUCAUGCUGUUCUGCCUUGCCUUGGAGCCAGCAACUAUGGACUGAAUCCUUUAUAAAAUGUGGAUCAAAAUAAACCUUUCCUCCUUUAACUUGUGGAUGUUGGGUAUUUGUUUCAGUAGCAAGAAAGUAACUAAGACUUAUUAUUAUUAUUUUU
rnacentral:lncRNA from 1 species